rnacentral:rRNA from 1 species
UUAAGUAAGAAAGGGCGUACGGUGGAUGCCUAGGCACUUGGAACUGAAGAAGGACGCAGCAAACAGCGAAAUGCUGCGGGGAGCGGUACGCACGCAAAGAUCCGCAGAUAUCCGAAUGGGGAAACCCGUCAUCUGUAAUAGGAUGACACCCAUGAGUGAAUACAUAACUCAUGAGGGAGGUACCCGGGGAACUGAAACAUCUAAGUACCCGGAGGAAAAGAAAAUAAAGAAUGAUUCCGUAAGUAGCGGCGAGCGAAAGCGGAGGAGCCCAAACCAGUUCUCGAACUGGGGUUGUAGGACCACGAUAAGACAAGAACGACGAUAGGAGAACAGCAUUGAAAGGCUGACCGGAGAGGGUGCAAGUCCCGUAACCGAAAUCGUAGUGAAGUCUAGUGGGAUCCUGAGUACGGCGAGACACGAGAAAUCUUGUCGGAAGCAGGCGGGACCAUCCGUCAAGGCUAAAUAUACCCAAGUGACCGAUAGUGAACCAGUACCGUGAGGGAAAGGUGAAAAGAACCGCGGGAGCGGAGUGAAAGAGAACCUGAAACCGUAUGCCUACAAGAAGUCAGAGCCCGUUAAAGGGUGAUGGCGUGCCUUUUGUAGAAUGAACCGGCGAGUUACGUUAUCGUGCGAGGUUAAGUAGAAGAUACGGAGCCGAAGCGAAAGCGAGUCUUAAUAGGGCGGCAGUACGAUGACGUAGACCCGAAACCGUGUGAUCUAGCCAUGACCAGGUUGAAGUUCAGGUGAAACUGAAUGGAGGACCGAACCGACCCCCGUUGAAACGUUGGCGGAUGAGUUGUGGCUAGGGGAGAAAUUCCAAUCGAACCCGGAGAUAGCUGGUUCUCCCCGAAAUAGCUUUAGGGCUAGCGUCGAGGGAAAGUAUGUUGGAGGUAGAGCACUGAAUGUACGAUGGCCCCAUCCCGGGGUACUGAGUAUAAUCAAACUCCGAAUGCCAAUAUAUAUACUCGGCAGUCAGACUGUGGGUGAUAAGGUCCAUGGUCAAAAGGGAAACAGCCCAGACCGCCAGUUAAGGUCCCAAAAUGUAUGCUAAGUGGAAAAGGAUGUGGGGAUGCACAGACAACUAGGAGGUUGGCUCAGAAGCAGCCAUCCUUCAAAGAGUGCGUAACAGCUCACUAGUCGAGUGACCCUGCGCCGAAAAUGUACCGGGGCUAAGCAUACUACCGAAGCUGCGGAUUUGUAGUAAUACAAGUGGUAGGGGAGCGUUCCAUACUGCGUAGAAGUCAGAUCGUAAGGACUGAUGGAGUGUAUGGAAGUGAGAAUGCCGGUGUGAGUAGCGAGAUGUAGGUGAGAAUCCUACACACCGAUAGCCCAAGGGUUCCAGGGGAAGGUUCGUCCGCCCUGGGUAAGUCGGGACCUAACGCGAGGCCGAAAGGCGUAGUGGAUGGAAAACAGGCAGAUAUUCCUGUACCCGCGAUGGAAGUGAAGGAAUGACGGAGAAGGCUAGUGUGACCCACUGAAUGGAUUGUGGGCGAAGCGAAUAGCAGGACGGCAGUGAAAUGCGUCGUCGAAAUGUAAAACGUGACAGGUAAGGGAACGUCUACGGACAAGUACCGAAGCACAUGAGGCCAGCUUCCAGGAAAAGUUUCUAGCGAUGAUUCCAUAGCGGCCCGUACCAAAACCGACACAGGUGGGCAAGGAGAGGAUCCUGAGGUGAGCGAGAGAACUGUUGCCAAGGAACUCGGCAAAAUGACUCCGUAAGUUAGCGAUAAGGAGUGCUCUUGUAAAAGAGAGCCGCAGUGAAGAGGCCCAAGCGACUGUUUAACUAAAACACAGCUCUCUGCAAAGUCGCAAGACGAAGUAUAGGGGGUGACGCCUGCCCGGUGCUGGAAGGUUAAGAGGAUGUGUUAGUCGUAAGACGAAGCAUUGAAUUGAAGCCCCAGUGAACGGCGGCCGUAACUAUAACGGUCCUAAGGUAGCGAAAUUCCUUGUCAGGUAAGUUCUGACCCG